AAUGGAACCUGCAGGAACCCACAAUGUAGACAAAUGAAAAAACGGCUUUUGUCUACAAGUUGCAGUGAUCCUACAUAAACAUGGAGGUCUCUGUCUGGCUUAGGACAGCUGGCUAAGUCUGAUCGUUCCCCUCCAUACAGC